GAUGAACGCUGGCGGCGUGCCUAAUACAUGCAAGUCGAGCGAACGGACGAGAAGCUUGCUUCUCUGAUGUUAGCGGCGGACGGGUGAGUAACACGUGGAUAACCUACCUAUAAGACUGGGAUAACUUCGGGAAACCGGAGCUAAUACCGGAUAAUAUUUUGAACCGCAUGGUUCAAAAGUGAAAGACGGUCUUGCUGUCACUUAUAGAUGGAUCCGCGCUGCAUUAGCUAGUUGGUAAGGUAACGGCUUACCAAGGCAACGAUGCAUAGCCGACCUGAGAGGGUGAUCGGCCACACUGGAACUGAGACACGGUCCAGACUCCUACGGGAGGCAGCAGUAGGGAAUCUUCCGCAAUGGGCGAAAGCCUGACGGAGCAACGCCGCGUGAGUGAUGAAGGUCUUCGGAUCGUAAAACUCUGUUAUUAGGGAAGAACAUAUGUGUAAGUAACUGUGCACAUCUUGACGGUACCUAAUCAGAAAGCCACGGCUAACUACGUGCCAGCAGCCGCGGUAAUACGUAGGUGGCAAGCGUUAUCCGGAAUUAUUGGGCGUAAAGCGCGCGUAGGCGGUUUUUUAAGUCUGAUGUGAAAGCCCACGGCUCAACCGUGGAGGGUCAUUGGAAACUGGAAAACUUGAGUGCAGAAGAGGAAAGUGGAAUUCCAUGUGUAGCGGUGAAAUGCGCAGAGAUAUGGAGGAACACCAGUGGCGAAGGCGACUUUCUGGUCUGUAACUGACGCUGAUGUGCGAAAGCGUGGGGAUCAAACAGGAUUAGAUACCCUGGUAGUCCACGCCGUAAACGAUGAGUGCUAAGUGUUAGGGUGUUUCCGCCCCUUAGUGCUGCAGCUAACGCAUUAAGCACUCCGCCUGGGGAGUACGACCGCAAGGUUGAAACUCAAAGGAAUUGACGGGGACCCGCACAAGCGGUGGAGCAUGUGGUUUAAUUCGAAGCAACGCGAAGAACCUUACCAAAUCUUGACAUCCUUUGACAACUCUAGAGAUAGAGCCUUCCCCUUCGGGGGACAAAGUGACAGGUGGUGCAUGGUUGUCGUCAGCUCGUGUCGUGAGAUGUUGGGUUAAGUCCCGCAACGAGCGCAACCCUUAAGCUUAGUUGCCAUCAUUAAGUUGGGCACUCUAAGUUGACUGCCGGUGACAAACCGGAGGAAGGUGGGGAUGACGUCAAAUCAUCAUGCCCCUUAUGAUUUGGGCUACACACGUGCUACAAUGGACAAUACAAAGGGCAGCGAAACCGCGAGGUCAAGCAAAUCCCAUAAAGUUGUUCUCAGUUCGGAUUGUAGUCUGCAACUCGACUACAUGAAGCUGGAAUCGCUAGUAAUCGUAGAUCAGCAUGCUACGGUGAAUACGUUCCCGGGUCU
rnacentral:rRNA from 1 species